rnacentral:piRNA from 1 species
UACAGUAGGGUAGAGCUGAAAGCAUUGUGU